GAUGAACGCUGGCGGCGUGCCUAAUACAUGCAAGUCGAACGCACAGCGAAAGGUGCUUGCACCUUUCAAGUGAGUGGCGAACGGGUGAGUAACACGUGGACAACCUGCCUCAAGGCUGGGGAUAACAUUUGGAAACAGAUGCUAAUACCGAAUAAAACUUAGUGUCGCAUGACACAAAGUUAAAAGGCGCUUUGGCGUCACCUAGAGAUGGAUCCGCGGUGCAUUAGUUAGUUGGUGGGGUAAAGGCCUACCAAGACAAUGAUGCAUAGCCGAGUUGGGAGACUGAUCGGCCACAUUGGGAAUGAGGCACGGCCCAAACUCCUACGGGAGGCUGCAGUAGGGAAUCUUCCAAAAUGGGCGAAAGCCUGAUGGAGCAACGCCGCGUGUGUGAUGAAGGCUUUCGGGUCGUAAAGCACUGUUGUAUGGGAAGAACAGCUAGAAUAGGGAAUGAUUUUAGUUUGACGGUACCAUACCAGAAAGGGACGGCUAAAUACGUGCCAGCAGCCGCCGCAG
rnacentral:rRNA from 1 species